rnacentral:rRNA from 1 species
CCUGACCUCGAUUCGAGCGUGAAUACCCGCUGAACUUAAGCAUAU